rnacentral:rRNA from 1 species
AGCUUGAUUAUGGCUCAGAUUGAACGCUGGCGGGAUGCUUUUUACACAUGCAAGUCGAACGUGGCAGCACGGACUUCGGUCUGGUGGCGAGUGGCGAAACGGGUGAGUAAUGUAUCGGAACGUGCCUAGUAGCGGGAUAACUACGCGAAAGCGUAGCUAAUACUCCUCGCAUACGCCCUUCGGGGGAAAGCGGGGACCUUCGGGCCUCGCACUAUUAGAGCGGUCGAUAUCGGAUUAGCUAGUUGGUGGGGUAACGGCUCACCAAGGCGACGAUCCGUAGCUGGUUUGAGAGGACGACCAGCCACAUCGGGACUGGAGACACGGCCCAUUCUGCCGGGAGGCAGCAGCGGGAAUUUUGGACAAUGGGGGAAACUUGAUCCAGCCAUCCCGCGUGUGCGAUGGUCACCUUCGGGUUGUAAAGCACUUUGGCAGAAAGAAAACGGCAUUGCGGAUAAUACCCUGUGCAACUGACGGUACCUGCAGAAUAAGCACCGGCUAACCAGGCCGCCAGCAGCCGUGAAUACGUGGUGUGCAUGUUAAUCGGAAUUACUGGGCGUAAAGCGCGCAGGCGGUUCGGAAAGAAAGAUGUGAAAUCCCAGAGCUUAAUCCCUUUGAACUGCAUUUUUAACUACCGAGUCAGAUGUCAGAGGGGAGGUGAAUUCUGCGUGUAGCAGUGAAAUGAGAUAUGAGGAACGACUCCGAUGGCGAAGUGGCAGCUCUCCCGAUAACAUCAAUUGACGCUCAUGCACGAAAGCGUGGAGCAAACAGGAUUAGAUACCCCGGUAGUCCACGCCCUAAACGAUGUCAACUAGCUUAAGUUGGGGCCUUCUGGGCCUCGAAAGCAGCUAACGGGUGAAGUUGACUGCCUGGGGAGUAAUGGUCGCGGAAGAUUAAAACUCAAAGGAAUUGAUUCUGGACCCGCACAAGCGGUGGAUGAUGUGGAUUAAUCUGAUGCAACGCGAAAACCUUACCUACCCUUGACAUGUCUGGAAUCCCGAAGAGAUUUGGGAGUGCUCACAAGAGAACCGGGAACACAGGUGCCGGGUACGGUCGUCGUCAGCUGCGUCGGCAUGGGUUAAGCCCUGCAACGAGCGCAACCCCCGUCAUUAGUUGCUACGAAAGGGCACUUACGAGACUGCCGGUGACAACUUCCGGAGGAAGUUGCGGGGGAUGACGUCAAGUCCUCAUGGCCUCUUAUGGGUAGGGCUUCACACGUCAGUGCAAUGGUCGACAGAGUGGUCGCUAACCCGCGAGGGGGAGCCAAUCCCAGAAACCCGAUCGUAGUCCGGAUCGCAGCUCAACCUGACUGCGUGAAGUCGGAAUCGCUAGUAAUCGCGAUCAGCAUGUCGCGGUGAAUACGUUCCCCGGCCAGGUACAUCGCCCGUCACACCAUGGGAGUGGGUUUUACCAGAAGUAGUUAGCCUAACCGUAAGGGGGCUGACACACGGUAGGAUUCAUGACUGGGUGAAGUCGUAACAAGGCAA